GAGGGCCACUGUGCGGGGAGAGGGGCUCCUGAGCACGCGCGCGGAGACGAGACUGUGGGAACUCUCGCGAGAUCUCCUGGUGCUUUAUGUGGACGCCGAGGACCCGCGUCCUUUCCCGGGUGCGGUUCCAUCGUGCAUCACAGAAGCCGUUUCUCUCCGCCUGCCUUCUCUCUCACCUGAAUGCGUGCUACCGCCCCCUGGGAGAUUGUGUGGACAUGGACAGGAGCCCUCUGGGGCCCUAGAACUGCCUUUUCGGUUGUGAACUAAAAGCCGACAAAGAUUAUCACUUUAAGGUGGAUAAUGAUGAAAAUGAGCACCAAUUAUCUUUACAAACGGUCAGGUUAGGGGCCGGUGCAAAGGAUGCAAAGUGGACAGCACUUAGUAGCUGUGGAGGAAGAUGCAGUCAGAAGAUGAUGAGGAGGAGGAUGUGAAACUCAUGUCUGGAAAGCGUUCUGCCCCUGGAGAUGGUAGCAAGGUUCCGCAGAAAAAAGUAAAACUUGCUGCUGAUGAAAAUGAUGAGGACGAUGAUGAUGAGGAUGAUGAUGAUGAAGAGUAAGUAUGGAUUCAGAAGCUUGAUGAGGUUGUAUGGGGGGUUUUAAGAAAAUUUUUUUCUAAAAUCGUCCUGUGGAAUUGAGUAAUAGCUUUAAAUAAAGAGUAAAUGGUCAGUGGUUGUCAUUUGGGUUAAAUGAGCCAAGUUAAAGGACACUGUUGGAACUAGGAACCUUUAAAGUGCUUCAGUGUAUUGAGAAUUUUCAGAACUAUUUCCCUGAUGUGUUUGACUAGGUACCGCAAGCAUGUCAAACUCGCGGCCCAUGGGCCACAUGCAGCCCACAACAAAUAUUUUUGCGGCCCAGCCAAUA